rnacentral:rRNA from 1 species
UGGGGAAUUUUGGACAAUGGGCGAAAGCCUGAUCCAGCAAUGCCGCGUGAGUGAAGAAGGCCUUCGGGUUGUAAAGCUCUUUUGUCAGGGAAGAAACGGUUGACUCUAAUACAGUUGGCUAAUGACGGUACCUGAAGAAUAAGCACCGGCUAACUACGUGCCAGCAGCCGCGGUAAUACGUAGGGUGCAAGCGUUAAUCGGAAUUACUGGGCGUAAAGCGUGCGCAGGCGGUUUUGUAAGUCUGUCGUGAAAUCCCCGGGCUCAACCUGGGAAUUGCGAUGGAGACUGCAAGGCUAGAAUCUGGCAGAGGGGGGUAGAAUUCCACGUGUAGCAGUGAAAUGCGUAGAGAUGUGGAGGAACACCGAUGGCGAAGGCAGCCCCCUGGGUCAAGAUUGACGCUCAUGCACGAAAGCGUGGGGAGCAAACAGGAUUAGAUACCCCAGUAGUCCCUGAGCGGGCUGGCAAGGCGCAU